rnacentral:rRNA from 1 species
UACGAAGGGGGCUAGCGUUGUUCGGAAUUACUGGGCGUAAAGCGUGCGCAGGCGGUUUUGUAAGUCUGUCGUGAAAUCCCCGGGCUCAACCUGGGAAUUGCGAUGGAGACUGCAAGGCUAGAAUCUGGCAGAGGGGGGUAGAAUUCCACGUGUAGCAGUGAAAUGCGUAGAGAUGUGGAGGAACACCGAUGGCGAAGGCAGCCCCCCUGGGUCAAGAUUGACGCUCAUGCACGAAAGCGUGGGGAGCAAACAGG